rnacentral:rRNA from 1 species
UGGGGAAUUUUUGGACAAUGGGGGAAACCCUGAUCCAGCAAUGCCGCGUGUGUGAAGAAGGCCUUCGGGUUGUAAAGCACUUUUGUCCGGAAAGAAAACCUCUGCCCUAAUACGGCGGGGGGGAUGACGGUACCGGAAGAAUAAGCACCGGCUAACUACGUGCCAGCAGCCGCGGUAAUACGUAGGGUGCAAGCGUUAAUCGGAAUUACUGGGCGUAAAGCGUGCGCAGGCGGUUCGCUAAGACAGAUGUGAAAUCCCCGGGCUUAACCUGGGAACUGCAUUUUGUGACUGGCGGGCUAGAGUAUGGCAGAGGGGGGUAGAAUUCCACGUGUAGCAGUGAAAUGCGUAGAGAUGUGGAGGAAUACCGAUGGCGAAGGCAGCCCCCUGGGCCAAUACUGACGCUCAUGCACGAAAGCGUGGGGAGCA